rnacentral:rRNA from 1 species
GAUGAACGCUGGCGGCGUGCCUAAUACAUGCAAGUCGAGCGAACAGAUGAGGAGCUUGCUCCUCUGACGUUAGCGGCGGACGGGUGAGUAACACGUGGAUAACCUACCUAUAAGACUGGGAUAACUUCGGGAAACCGGAGCUAAUACCGGAUAAUAUAUUGAACCGCAUGGUUCAAUAGUGAAAGUCGGUUUUGCUGUCACUUAUAGAUGGAUCCGCGCCGCAUUAGCUAGUUGGUAAGGUAACGGCUUACCAAGGCAACGAUGCGUAGACGACCUGAGAGGGUGAUAGGCCACACUGGAACUGAGACACGGUCCAGACUCCUACGGGAGGCAGCAGUAGGGAAUCUUCCGCAGAGGGCGAAAGCCUGACGGAGCAACGCCGCGUGAGUGAUGAAGGUCUUCGGAUCGUAAAACUCUGUUAUUAGGGAAGAACAAAUGUGUAAGUAACUAUGCACGUCUUGACGGUACCUAAUCAGAAAGCCACGGCUAACUACGUG